GCUCACUUCGGCAAUACUUAUAGUAAAACUGGAACACUGAAGAGAAGAUUAGUAUGUGUCCUGUGUGAAGAUGACGUGCAAAUUUGUGAAGCGUUCCAUAUUUUU